GUCUAUGGGGUCAGUGGUGUCAAUGGGGUUAAUGGGGUCAGUGGUGUCAAUGGGGUCAGCGGUGUUUGCGCCCCGCAGGGCGGUUCCUGGGGUUAAUAGGGGUGUCAAUGGGGUCAAUGGGGUCAUUGGGAUGAAUGGGGUCAGUGGUGUCAAUGGGGUCAGUGGUGUUUGCGCCCCGCAGGGCGGUUCCUGGGGUUAAUAGGGGUGUCAAUGGGGUCAGUGGGGUCAAUGGGGUCAAUGGGGUCAAUGGGGUCAGUGGUGUCAAUGGGGUGAGCGGUGUUUGCGCCCCGCAGGGCGGUUCCUGGGGUUAAUAGGGGUGUCAAUGGGGUCAAUGGGGUCAUUGGGAUUAAUGGGGUCAUUGGGAUGAAUGGGGUCAGCGGUGUUUGCGCCCCGCAGGGCGGUUCCUGGGGUUAAUAGGGGUGUCAAUGGGGUCAAUGGGGUCAAUGGGGUCAGUGGUGUCAAUGGGGUGAGCGGUGUUUGCGCCCCGCAGGGCGGUUCCUGGGGUUAAUAGGGGUGUCAAUGGGGUCAAUGGGGUCAAUGGGGUCAGUGGUGUCAAUGGGGUGAGCGGUGUUUGCGCCCCGCAGGGCGGUCAAUGGGGUCAGUGGUGUCAAUGGGGUGAGCGGUGUUUGCGCCCCGCAGGGUGGUUCCUGGGGUUAAUAGGGGUGUCAAUGGGGUCAAUGGGGUCAAUGGGGUCAAUGGGGUCAGUGGUGUCAAUGGGGUCAGCGGUGUUUGCGCCCCGCAGGGCGGUUCCUGGGGUUAAUAGGGGUGUCAAUGGGGUCAGUGGGGUCAAUGGGGUCAAUGGGGUCAGUGGUGUCAAUGGGGUGAGCGGUGUUUGCGCCCCGCAGGGCGGUUCCUGGGGUUAAUAGGGGUGUCAAUGGGGUCAAUGGGGUCAAUGGGGUCAAUGGGGUCAGUGGUGUCAAUGGGGUGAGCGGUGUUUGCGCCCCGCAGGGCGGUUCCUGUGGUUAAUGGGGUUAUGAAUGGGGUCAAUGGGGUCAGUGGUGUCAAUGGGGUCAGUGGUGUCAAUGGGGUCAGUGGUGUUUGCGCCCCGCAGGGCGGUUCCUGGGGUUAAUAGGGGUGUCAAUGGGGUCAGUGGGGUCAAUGGGGUCAGUGGUGUCAAUGGGGUGAGCGGUGUUUGCGCCCCGCAG
ensembl:lncRNA